rnacentral:tRNA from 1 species
GUAGAUUUAGUUUAACAAAAACAUUAGAUUGUGGUUCUAAAGACAGAGGUUAAAGUCCCCUAAUCCACC